rnacentral:rRNA from 2 species
UACGGAGGGGGCUAGCGUUGUUCGGAAUUACUGGGCGUAAAGCGCACGUAGGCGGCUUUGCAAGUCAGAGGUGAAAGCCCGGGGCUCAACCCCGGAAUUGCCUUUGAGACUGCAGAGCUAGCAGGUGAGAGAGGUAAGUGGAAUUCCGAGUGUAGAGGUGAAAUUCGUAGAUAUUCGGAAGAACACCAGUGGCGAAGGCGGCUUACUGGCUCAUACUGGACGCUGAGGUGCGAAAGCGUGGGGAGCAAACAGG